rnacentral:lncRNA from 1 species
CCCCCCCCCCCGAUAUUGAUCUGAAACCACUGGGCUGCACAAUCUCCAUCACAUCACUCAACAACCAUUCAAUCCACCUCCUCAAAUGGAACCAUCCCAUUGGUUUCAACAGGAAGAAGUCAUAGUCAUGGCCACUGGAGAAGAGGAUGCGAUGUUUGGUCGUGGAUCUAUCAUCACUCCAUUGUACAAGCGCUCCAGGAAUCUACUGUCAUCAUCUGGAUCGGCUUGAAAUAUUCUUCCGCAACAUCUCCAGCCCUUGCUGCGACCAUAUUCUCUUCUUCCUCAUCAGCUCAAAGACUUGGAAAAAAAACAACAAAAACGAAGCAAAAUCAAGGAAGUGCUGGGAAUACCUCAGAUUUCUUGAGACAUUUAUGAAAUAUCUCUCCCUUUCUACGUCUUCCAACUUGAAAGAACAGAAACUUCAUUGUCAAGAAAGAACUGACUCAAGAGUUCUUCGGUGGUUCAAACUCGUGUUGGUGUUUGAAGUUUUAGUUCAAUGUGUUUAAUAUUCAAUGUUUGCUGCAUUUUUACCAUUGUGCUGUAUUAUAUCCCGGAAUAAACGGAUAAAAACACUAA